GACGAACGCUGGCGGCGUGCCUAAUACAUGCAAGUCGAGCGGACUGAAUGGGAGCUUGCCCUUGUUCGGUCAGCGGCGGACGGGUGAGUAACACGUGGGCAACCUGCCCGCAAGACCGGGAUAACUCCGGGAAACCGGAGCUAAUACCGGAUAACACCGAAGACCGCAUGGUCUUUGGUUGAAAGGCGGCGCAAGCUGCCACUUGCGGAUGGGCCCGCGGCGCAUUAGCUAGUUGGUGAGGUAACGGCUCACCAAGGCGACGAUGCGUAGCCGGCCUGAGAGGGUGACCGGCCACACUGGGACUGAGACACGGCCCAGACUCCUACGGGAGGCAGCAGUAGGGAAUCUUCCGCAAUGGGCGAAAGCCUGACGGAGCGACGCCGCGUGAGCGAAGAAGGCCUUCGGGUCGUAAAGCUCUGUUGUGAGGGACGAAGGAGCGCCGUUUGAAGAAGGCGGCGCGGUGACGGUACCUCACGAGGAAGCCCCGGCUAACUACGUG
rnacentral:rRNA from 1 species